GGCUCAGGACGAACGCUGGCGGCGUGCUUAACACAUGCAAGUCGAACGGAAAGGCCCUGCUUUUGUGGGGUGCUCGAGUGGCGAACGGGUGAGUAACACGUGAGUAACCUGCCCUUGACUUUGGGAUAACUUCAGGAAACUGGGGCUAAUACCGGAUAGGAGCUCCUGCUGCAUGGUGGGGGUUGGAAAGUUUCGGCGGUUGGGGAUGGACUCGCGGCUUAUCAGCUUGUUGGUGGGGUAGUGGCUUACCAAGGCUUUGACGGGUAGCCGGCCUGAGAGGGUGACCGGCCACAUUGGGACUGAGAUACGGCCCAGACUCCUACGGGAGACAGCAGUGGGGAAUAUUGCACAAUGGGCGGAAGCCUGAUGCAGCAACGCCGCGUGCGGGAUGACGGCCUUCGGGUUGUAAACCGCUUUCGCCUGUGACGAAGCGUGAGUGACGGUAAUGGGUAAAGAAGCACCGGCUAACUACGUGCCAGCAGCCGCGGUGAUACGUAGGGUGCGAGCGUUGUCCGGAUUUAUUGGGCGUAAAGGGCUCGUAGGUGGUUGAUCGCGUCGGAAGUGUAAUCUUGGGGCUUAACCCUGAGCGUGCUUUCGAUACGGGUUGACUUGAGGAAGGUAGGGGAGAAUGGAAUUCCUGGUGGAGCGGUGGAAUGCGCAGAUAUCAGGAGGAACACCAGUGGCGAAGGCGGUUCUCUGGGCCUUUCCUGACGCUGAGGAGCGAAAGCGUGGGGAGCGAACAGGCUUAGAUACCCUGGUAGUCCACGCUGUAAACGGUGGGUACUAGGUGUGGGGUCCAUUCCACGGGUUCCGUGCCGUAGCUAACGCUUUAAGUACCCCGCCUGGGGAGUACGGCCGCAAGGCUAAAACUCAAAGGAAUUGACGGGGCCCCGCACAAGCGGCGGAGCAUGCGGAUUAAUUCGAUGCAACGCGUAGAACCUUACCUGGGUUUGACAUGGAUCGGGAGUGCUCAGAGAUGGGUGUGCCUCUUUUGGGGUCGGUUCACAGGUGGUGCAUGGCUGUCGUCAGCUCGUGUCGUGAGAUGUUGGGUUAAGUCCCGCAACGAGCGCAACCCUUGUUCACUGUUGCCAGCACGUUAUGGUGGGGACUCAGUGGAGACCGCCGGGGUCAACUCGGAGGAAGGUGGGGAUGACGUCAAGUCAUCAUGCCCCUUAUGUCCAGGGCUUCACGCAUGCUACAAUGGCUGGUACAGAGAGUGGCGAGCCUGUGAGGGUGAGCGAAUCUCGGAAAGCCGGUCUCAGUUCGGAUUGGGGUCUGCAACUCGACCUCAUGAAGUCGGAGUCGCUAGUAAUCGCAGAUCAGCAACGCUGCGGUGAAUACGUUCCCGGGGCUUGUACACACCGCCCGUCAAGUCAUGAAAGUUGGUAACACCCGAAGCCGGUGGCCUAACCGUUGUGGGGGAGCCGUCGAAGGUGGGACUGGUGA
rnacentral:rRNA from 1 species